ensembl:lncRNA
CAGUAAUACUAAUCAUAGCUGCUAGCAUUGAUUAUGUGCCUGUUGUAUGCCAAGCCCAGUGCCAACUGCUUUCCAUACAACAUUACCUCAUGACCCGGUAGAGCGUGUACCAUCAUUGUUCCCAUUUAGAGAGGAGGAGGCCGACGCCCAGUGAGGCGGAGUGUCUAUGUGAGCAGAAGAGGAGGAGGUCAGAACUGGCAGAAGGUGGUUUGCAGGAGCUCUGAGGAGCAUCGCAGUGCUAGGUCCAGUUGGAGGCGUCCACAAAGGGCUCUGAUGCUUCGGGUUUGGGAGGCGUAGUUAGGGACAUCAUCAGGCAGAGGCAAGGCAGCGGCAGGGCCAGGACCCCAGCGACUUGACUGCCCAGAACCCUGGACAUGCUGGCUUCUGGCUCAGUUGUCAGCAGGACCCAGGUCUGCAACCUCCUUGCCAAUCACGGGCCUUGAACCCAGGACCAGGUACUGGGGCACCUCAGAAGGCCUUCACUGGGACCCGCCAUCCAACCGGUCACCAAAUCACAGGGACAGGGAUUUUGAAAGUUCCCUUUCAGAAUUUUAGGCCACCUAGAUCUUUUAUUUCUCCCUUCCCUUCCCUCUUCCCCUUGUCUGUGUGUGUGAAUAUACAGUGCACAAGCAUGUGUGUGCGCAUGUGUGUGUGUGUGGUAUGGGUGGGUGCAUAAACUGGACAGGGCCCAGCCAUUACCUGACAGAGCUGUCUCUCUGGCUCAGUUUCCCCAACAGCAAAGAGGUGUGUAAUCCCAGCUCCUUGCCUGUCUCCUCCAGGCUUGAUGAGGUCACCAGAAAUUCAACCCAGUUAUUCCGGGCUGCCCUCAGCCUCUCCCUUCCCCACCCUCCCCUCUUCCCAACUUUCAGUUUCUUUUCAGAUCCUCGGUGCCUUUGGGGAAGAGGUGGCCAAACCGAUGGAACAUGGAUUGCUUGCAACUUUCCAACCAAAAUCCCCCACUUAGGGGAAGUCCCUUUAAAAGGGAAACUGCAAGCCUCUCCUACUCCAGUGCCCAGUCCCACUCCUUCCUCUCCAUGCUGCUCAGGCCUGGCCCCAUCGCCUCUCCCAUUCGCUUCUUCCUCAGAUGAUCUGGACUCAAACUACGGCUGCCUUCCAGCUUCGUGACCUUGGACAAAUCCCUUCCCCUCGCUGAGCCUCAUAAUGGCCAUUCUGUAAAACGAGGACCCUGAGCGGCACUUCAGGUUGUGGCAAGGGUUCAGAGAGCCCACUGAACUUCAACUCUACUGGCUUUUCAGUUCCUCAGUGCUGAGCUUCUUCUACCUCAGGACCUUUGAGCAUGCUGUUCCCUCCACCUAGAAUGCCUCUCUACACUUCUCUACUUGCUGAAUUUCUAGUCUUCUUUUAAAACCCAGAUCAAACCACUCCUGAGGACUUUCCAGAUUCCCCAGGAGGAAAGGAUGGCUCUCCUCACCACACGCUCCAUACCUCUGGGCUUAGGGUUCCCACAACUCAGGCCACCCACCUCAGCUCAUCAUCUCCUCAUCUCCACCUCCAAGACCAUUGCCCUUCUCACCUGGGCCAGGGCCUGUGCCAUUUCAUCAGCCUUCUCACUUGUCUCUCUGUCACCAGUCCAUCCCCUCCAGCUGUUCUCCACUGUCUCAGGGUUAUUUUCCAAUAGAGGGUGCUCAGUAAAUAUCUGUUGACUGAUGGAGUAAAUGAGGGAAGGGAUGAAUGAAGGAGUGAAAGAAAUGUAAAAUGAAACAUCCCCCCUCGGCUUUACACCUUUCUGUGGCUCCCUACUGCCCUCAGGACAAAGCCUGCACCUCCUAUUUAAGGUCUUCACUCUGUAAUCCCCAUAGCACACUCUGGGCUUUCCGGCAAGCCAGAACCUCGCUCUCCUUUCUGCCUUCAUGCAGGAGUCCCUCUGCCCGGACUGUCCUUCUUCCUGCUAUGCAUCAGGGAAACAUGGGUGCGUUGCAGGCAAGAGAUGCUGGGGGCCAGAGCUAAGGAUGGAGGGGAGAGUCAGCCAACAGCAACAUUUCUUGAGCUAGGGUCUGUUUUCAGUGCUGGAGAUCUCGAGUGUAGCCUUAGAGUUUAGGUUUGAAAUGCCUACAAGAGUCCCCCUGGAGACAUCAGGCUGGCAAUCAAUGGAUCUAGGAGCCUGGACUUCAGAGGACAGUGGAUGGGUGUCCCAAAUUUGAAGCCACAGGACUGGGUGCAAUCCACUAGAGAGAAGGAAUAUCUCAAGAAGAUAGUGCUGGGGGCUCCCCAACAUUUAGACUCUGGAAGGGGAGCUAGCAGGGAUUCAGCUGAUGGCCGGUGGGAAAGGAAGAGAUCCAGGUGCAGGGGUGUCUGCAAGCCAGAGGGAAGAAAUGGUUUCCAGAAGGAAUGAGUCACCCACCAUGUCAAAUGCUGUGGAAGGGUGGAGGAAGACAGAGGGAGAGAGGUAUGGGAGGUGUUCGGGAGGCAGAACGGACAGGACUUAGGAAAAGACUACAGAUGUUGGGAGGAAUAAGGACUGUGGAUGGUGCCCAAGGAUCUGCCUUGGGCAAAUGGCUGGAAGGAGGUGCCAAAGUGUACGCAGGAAGCCUAGAGGAAGAGCAGCAGGGGACGUGUGGAAACAGAGAGGUCAGUUUUGGAUGAGUUGGGAUGAGGUGACUUUGGGAUGUCAUCAGGAUCACAUGAUGUCAUUAGGACCACAGGAUGUCUAUGGGUCAGCCCAGAUCUCUCCAGAUCUCCAGCUGCCCUUGGAGAUCACCCAGACAUACAUCCUACAGAGACCUACAAGACACAGAAAAACAGGCCCAGGUGGACACAGAUUAGAGGGGACAGAGUUGGAAGCAAGAAAACCAGGGAAGAAUUGAUCAGACUGGCCCGGUGAAAGCAAUGGUGGCUUGAACUAGGCCAGGUCAGAGGACAGAGAAGGAGAAGAUGAAGUCCAGAG